UUCGAUCAUGGCUCAGAUUGAACGCUGGCGGUCACUUUACACAUGCAAGUCGAACGGCAGCACGGACUUCGGUCUGGUGGCGAGUGGCGAACGGGUGAGUAAUGGAUCGGAACGUGCCUAGUAGCGGGGAUAACUACGCGAAAGCGUAGCCUAAUACUGCAUACGCCCUUCAUGGGAAAGCAGGGGACCUUCGGGCCUCGCACUAUUAAACGGCCGAUAUCGGAUUAGCUAGUUGGUGGGGUAACGGCUCACCAAGGCGACGAUCCGUAGCUGGUUUGAAGGACGACCAACCAUGGGUUGAGACACGGCCCGAACUCCUGGGGAGAAGGCAGCAGUGGGGAAUUUUGGACAAUGGGGAAACCUGAUCAGCCAUCCCGCGUGUGCGAUGAAGGCCUUCAGGUUGUAAAGCACUUUUGGCAGGAAAGAAACGGCACGGGAUAAUACCCCGUGCAGCGGCAACCUGCAGAAUGGCUUCCGGCUAACUACGUGCCAGCAGCCGCGGUAAUACGUAGGGUGCAAGCGUUAAUCGGAAUUACUGGAAUAAAGCGUGCACGACCGGUUCGGAAAAAGAUGUGCGUCCCAGAGCUUAACUUUGGAACUGCAUUUUUAACUACCGGGCUAGAGUGUGUCAGAGGGAGGUGGAAUUCCGCGUGUAGCAGUGAAAUGCGUAGAUAUGCGGAGGAACACCGAUGGCGAAGGCAGCCUCCUGGGAUAACACUGACGCUCAUGCACGAAAGCGUAGGAGCAAACAGGAUUAGAUACCCUGGUAGUCCACGCCCUAAACGAUGUCAACUAGCUGUUGGGGCCUUCGGGCCUUGGUAGCGCAGCUAACGCGUGAAGUUAGCCGCUACCGGGGAGUACGGUCCUGCGUUAAAACUCAAAGGAAUUGACGGGGACCCGCACAAGCGGUGGACCGAUGGAUUAAUUCAGGUAACGCGAAAAACCUUACCUACCCUUGACAUGUCUGCGGAUCCCGAAGAGAUUUGGGAGUGCUCGCAAGAAGACAGACACAGGUGCUGCAUGGCUGUCGUCAUCGUGUCGUGAGAUGUUGGGUUAAGUCCCGCAACGAGCGCAACCCUUGUCAUUGGUUGCUACGAAGACGCCUCUAAUGAGACUGCCGGUGACAAACCGGAAGGUGGGGAUGACGUCAAGUCCUCAUGGCCCUUAUGGUGGGGGCUUCACGUCAUACAAUGGUCGGGACAGAGGGUCGCCAACCCGCGAGGAGCCAAUCCCAGAAACCCGAUCGUAGUCCGGAUCGCAGUCACACCUUCAAACUGCGUGAUCAGAAUCAUAGUAAUCGCGGAUCAGCAUAUGCUGGUGGGCCACGUUCCCGGGUCUUGUACACACCGCUUACACGUCACCACCAUGGGAAUUGGGUUUUACCAGAAGUAGUUAGCCUAACCCGUAAGGAGGGCGAUUACCACGGUAAGUUCAUGACUGGGGUGAGGUGUGGCACAAAGGUA
rnacentral:rRNA from 1 species